UAAUAAGUGUUUUAUGGCACUUUUUAAAUCCAUAUCCACCUUGUGUGCAAUGUCAGUCGAUCUUCUUUUUAUGGAGGAUCGACCAAACAUCAACCUUUAUUUUUUAACUCUUUGUCUGAAAAAUAUUAUGAAUAAACAAUUCAAAAUA
rnacentral:misc_RNA from 1 species